CACUUGUGCGUCUAUAACACGUAGGUUCAUUACAUAAAAUAUUCUAUACAUUGGUAGGAAUAUAAUUUUUGUUCUGAUACGAUAACGAAUAAAAUCGAAACCACCCAAAAGUCUCCGUUUCGGGUUCACUAAAAGGAAAAAAAAAAAAAAAUAGAAAAAUCGAAUAUCACUUUGUACAUUCGAAUCGCGUUCGAAAUCGCAUCCGGAGACCGAGCGCGGAGCGAACAGACGGAAACGGCGUUGGCGAACGCACUAACAAUGCGAUUUGACGGGACCGUACAACCGCUCGGAAACGCGGCUUUUGGUUUUCAUCGUCGUUUCGGAUGUUCUAUGCGGACGAAUCGCCCAAACGGCGUAUCGAACAAUCCGUCAUCUCGCGUAGUACCCGACCACAACGAGAACGGCCGUACGUAACACGCAGCGGCCCGGGACGGUCGCCCAACGGG